rnacentral:rRNA from 1 species
CCAAUAGCGUAUAUUAAAGUUGUUGCAGUUAAAAAGCUCGUAGUUGAAUUUCGGGAUCAAUACGUCGGUCGUGCCUUUGGUACGUACUGGGGUCGUUGAUUUCUCCCUCCUGAUGAAUCAUGAUGUCAUUAAUUGGGUGUCGUGGGGAGUCAGGACCGUUACUUUGAAAAAAUUAGAGUGUUUAAAGCAGGCAAACGCUUGAAUACAUUAGCAUGGAAUAAUGAAAUAGGACGUUCGAACCUAUUUUGUUGGUUUCUAGGUACAACGUAAUGAUUAAUAGGGAUAGUUGGGGGCAUUAGUAUUCAAUUGUCAGAGGUGAAAUUCUUGGAUUUAUUGAAGACUAACUACUGCGAAAGCAUUUGCCAAGGAUGUUUUCAUUAAUCAAGAACGAAAGUUAGGGGAUCGAAGACGAUCAGAUACCGUCGUAGUCUUAACCAUAAACUAUGCCGACUAGGGAUCGGAUGAAGUUAAUUUUUUAAUGACUCAUUCGGCGCCUUACG